rnacentral:rRNA from 1 species
UACGUAGGGGGCGAGCGUUGUCCGGAAUUACUGGGCGUAAAGAGAGCGUAGGCGGCACUACAAGUCUCAUGUGAAAUACCCGGGCUUAACUUGGGGGUUGCAUGGGAAACUGUAGAGCUUGAGUACAGGAGAGGCAAGCGGAAUUCCUAGUGUAGCGGUGAAAUGCAUAGAUAUUAGGAGGAACACCAGUGGCGAAGGCGGCUUGCUGGACUGAAACUGACGCUGAGGCUCGAAAGCGUGGGUAGCAAACAGG